rnacentral:misc_RNA from 1 species
GAUGAAGAACGUAGUGAAAUGCGAUACGUAAUGUGAAUUGCAAAUUCAGUGAAUCAUCGAGUCUUUGAACGCACAUUGCGCCCCCUGGUAUUCCGGAGGGCAUGCCUGUCUGAGCGUCAUUGUCAACCCUCAAGCUCAGCUUGCUGUUGGGUCCCCGUCGUUGCUUUAACGGCGGACCCGAAAGGUAAUGGCAGAGUCCGUGAGACCCUAGACGCAGCGAGCUUCUAGCACGCGUCUGGACGUUUUUCGGGCUCGGUCUUAACUAGAUGAUAACUUCCGAUUGACCUCAGAUCAGGUAGGGAUACCCGCUGAACUUAAGCAUAUCAAUAAGCGGAGGA